GGGAUACAGCGCAUGCACCUCAUCAGUCAGGACACACAUCCUAGUUUGAAUAAUAAUAAUAAUAGGACUGUCUUCCUAUUUGUGCGCUACUCUCCUUCCUCUACUGAAAAGGAAACCAGCCUUUUCAGAGCCUUCCACUGAGAACCAGCAAGAAUCCACACCUGUCGCCCGUUCAUGAGGUAGUAUAAAUGGAACAGGAGCAAAUUCUUCACCUCCACAGUAACACAAAGUACAGAGGACGGGCCACGAGCUAGCUGACGAGAGGAAGUGGGUCUGAAGACCUGAGCUUCCACCAAAGGGCAAACAAUUCAGAACAACUCAGGAAACCCAGGCCCUGUGUUGCCUGAACUUCCCCAUUCUGCCCCCACCCCUGUUAAAUCAAAGCCAACAGCUACCUGAACUGACGGAGAAGCCAUCUCUGGGGAGGAAGCUGAGAGGCUCUGGGCUGUGGCAGUUACAGUGGCCCCCAGCCUUGCCCACCCAGAGGCUGUCACUACAUGCUCUGUCACAGCCAACCCACCCAACAGUUUUCUGGCUGAGACCACUUCUCCCCACUCCUCUCUAAGAACUAGAAAACUCCAGUCCAAAUCCCUCUAAACACUAUGGAAGGGCACCUUCCAGGUGCCUGAAGACACGGCACAGGGCUCAGGCUUGCCCGUCAUUCUCCCUGGGCCACCAGCACAACACGAUCCCACCACUCCCUACAAACACAAUGACGUGACCUGUCCCCCUCUAGAAAGGAUCAAGCCAUCCUCUCCAUCCUUUCCACUACACGGUGUAUUCCCCCAGGCAUCUUGGUCCGCCUCUAAGGAGCCCUCCUCCCUAACCACAGACUCAGGGUGCCAUGGCCAUCCCCAGGUGUGAUGUCCUUGGGGACAUCCAGUGCUCCCUCAACAUCAGCCCUAUAAGCUGUCCCCAGGGACAGUUCAAAUUUGAAUUCCCAAGGAGUUGAGGCAAGGCAGACUAGGAUAAUGCCCCAUCCCUACAGGCUCACCUCCAUUUGAAGCCAUCCC
rnacentral:lncRNA from 1 species